rnacentral:tRNA from 1 species
CCGGGGUGGAGCAGUUCGGUAGCUCGUCGGGCUCAUAACCCGAAGGUCGCAGGUUCAAAUCCUGCCCCCGCAACCA